AACGAACGCUGGCGGCAUGCCUAACACAUGCAAGUCGAACGAAGGCUUCGGCCUUAGUGGCGCACGGGUGCGUAACGCGUGGGGAUCUGCCCUUUGCUUCGGAAUAACAGUUAGAAAUGACUGCUAAUACCGGAUGAUGUCGUAAGACCAAAGAUUUAUCGGCAAAGGAUGAACCCGCGUAGGAUUAGCUAGUUGGUGGGGUAAAGGCCUACCAAGGCGACGAUCCUUAGCUGGUCUGAGAGGAUGAUCAGCCACACUGGGACUGAGACACGGCCCAGACUCCUACGGGAGGCAGCAGUGGGGAAUAUUGGACAAUGGGCGAAAGCCUGAUCCAGCAAUGCCGCGUGAGUGAUGAAGGCCUUAGGGUUGUAAAGCUCUUUUACCCGGGAUGAUAAUGACAGUACCGGGAGAAUAAGCUCCGGCUAACUCCGUGCCAGCAGCCGCCGUAAAAC
rnacentral:rRNA from 1 species